AGUAACACGUAGGAACCUAUCGCCGAGUGGGGGAUAACGCUGGGAAACUGGCGCUAAUACCGCAUAGAGUUGUGGAGGGAGACCCUUUUACAAAGAAAGCAGCAAUGCGCUUGGUGAGGGGCCUGCGGCCGAUUAGCUAGUUGGAAGGGUAAAGGCCUCCCAAGGCGACGAUCGGUAGCUGGUCUGAGAGGAUGGUCAGCCACACUGGGACUGAGACACGGCCCAG
rnacentral:rRNA from 1 species